GACGAACGCUGGCGGCAUGCCUAACACAUGCAAGUCGAACGGUAACAGGAAGCAGCUUGCUGCUUUGCUGACGAGUGGCGGACGGGUGAGUAAUGUCUGGGAAACUGCCUGAUGGAGGGGGAUAACUACUGGAAACGGUAGCUAAUACCGCAUAACGUCGCAAGACCAAAGAGGGGGACCUUAGGGCCUCUUGCCAUCGGAUGUGCCCAGAUGGGAUUAGCUAGUAGGUGGGGUAACGGCUCACCUAGGCGACGAUCCCUAGCUGGUCUGAGAGGAUGAACGGCCACAUUGGGACUGAGAUACGGCCCAG
rnacentral:rRNA from 1 species